rnacentral:rRNA from 1 species
UACGUAGGGUGCAAGCGUUGUCCGGAAUUAUUGGGCGUAAAGGGCUCGUAGGCGGCCUGUCGCGUCGGGAGUGAAAGCCCACUGCUUAACGGUGGGUCUGCUUCCGGUACGGGCGGGCUGGAGUAUGGCAGGGGAGACUGGAAUUCCUGGUGUAGCGGUGGAAUGCGCAGAUAUCAGGAGGAACACCGGUGGCGAAGGCGGGUCUCUGGGCCAUUACUGACGCUGAGGAGCGAAAGCGUGGGGAGCGAACAGG